rnacentral:rRNA from 1 species
UGGGGGAUAUUGAACAAUGGGCGGAAGCUGAUCCAGCCAUGCCGCGUUUGUGAAGCAAGGCCUUUUGCGCUUGUAAAGCACUUUAAGCGAGGUAGGAGGCUACUCUGUGAUUAAUACUCUGUGGAUAGUGGACGUGUACUCGCAGAAUAAGCACCGGCUAACUCUGUGCCAGCAGCCGCGGUAAUACAGAGGGUGCGAGCGUUAAUCGGAUUUACUGGGCGUAAAGCGUGCGUAGGCGGCUUGUAUUAAGUCGGAUGUGAAAUCCCUGAAGCUUAACUUAGGAAUUGCAUUCGAUACUGGGAAGCUAGAGUAUGGGAGAGGAUGGUAGAAUUCCAGGUGUAGCGGUGAAAUGCGUAGAGAUCUGGAGGAAUACCGAUGGCGAAGG